rnacentral:rRNA from 1 species
CCUACGGGGGGCAGCAGUGAGGAAUAUUGGUCAAUGGACGCAAGUCUGAACCAGCCAUGCCGCGUGCAGGAUGACGGCCCUAUGAGUUAUAAACUGCUUUUGUACGAGGGUAAACGCAGAUACGCGUAUCUGUCUGAAAGUAUCGUACGAAUAAGGAUCGGCUAACUCCGUGCCAGCAGCCGCGGUAAUACGGAGGAUUCAAGCGUUAUCCGGAUUUAUUGGGUUUAAAGGGUGCGUAGGCGGUCGGAUAAGUUAGAGGUGAAAUGCCGAGGCUCAACUUUGAAAUUGCAUUUGAUACUGGUCGGCUAGAGAGUAGUUGCGGUAGGCGGAAUGUAUGGUGUAGCGGUGAAAUGCUUAGAGAUCAUAAAGAACACCGAUUGCGAAGGCAGCUUACUAAGCUACUUCUGACGUUGAGGCACGAAAGCGUGGGGAGCAAACAGGAUUAGAUACCCUUGUAGUC